ensembl:snoRNA
UGUCCCAUCCCUAGAGAUUCUGGCUGAAAAGAUAGGAAGCACUUAAAUGAGCAGGUACAGAAAAUAAAUCCUCUUUUGCAACCCAGAACUCAGUGUUAGGUAUGAGUUUUGAUACAUUAGAGAAGGAAUAUU